GAGGAAAGUCCGAGCUCCUCCAGACAGGAUGCUGGGUAACACCCAGGGGGGGCGACCCUACGGAAAGUGCAACAGAAACAUACCGCCUGUGCAAACAGGUAAGGGCGAAAUGGUGAGGUAAGAGCUCACCGGCAGUCCGGGUGACCGGCUGGCCGGGUAAACCCCGUCCGGAGCAAGGCCAAAUAGGGGAACUUAAGGCAGUCUGGCCUGUUCCCGGGUUGGCCGCAUGAACCAGUUGGUAACAGCUGGUCUAGAUAGAUG
rnacentral:misc_RNA from 1 species